AGGACGAACGCUGGCGGCGUAGCUUAACACGAUGCAAGUCGAACGGGAGUAUGAAGAAGCUUGCUUAGAGAUACUUAGUGGCGGACGGGUGAGUAACGCGUGAGGAGCUGUCCUAUGCAGGGGGACAACAGCUGGAAACGGCUGCUAAUACCCAUAAGCCGAGAGGUAAAAGGAUCAAUCCGGCAGAGGAGGUACUCGCGUCCUAUCAGCUAGUAGGUGAGGUAACGGCUCACCUAGGCGAAGACGGGUAGCCGGCCUGAGAGGGCGAACGGCCACACUGGAACUGAGAUACGGUCCAGACUCCUACGGGAGGCAGCAGUGGGGAAUAUUGGGCAAUGGGGGAAACCCUGACCCAGCGACGCCGCGUGGGUGAAGAAAUCCCUUCGGGAUGUAAAGCCCUGUUGUAUGGGAAGAGCAAGUUGGAGAGUAACUGCUCCAGCCUUGACGGUAUCUGACCAGAAAGCCACGGCUAACUACGUGCCAGCAGCGGC
rnacentral:rRNA from 1 species